AGGGGCGUGGUUCAGUGGUAGAACAGAGGUCUCCAAAACCUUUGAUGAGGGUUCGAUUCCUUCCGCCCCUGCCA
rnacentral:tRNA from 1 species